GCAGGAUGAACGGAUUGACUGGGCAGAAAAUGCAGAAGAUAUUCGAAGCACUUGUUCCUGAAUCUGUUCAUAGUGAUGCUCGCAAUUUGGUUGAGUACUGCAGCUUUAGGUUUCUGUCGAAGGAUACUUCUGUCCUUCAUCCUUGCCUGAAGGAACCUGCAUUCCAGAGACUGAUUUUCGUAACUAUGCUUGCGUGGGAGCAACCAUACAGGAGUAGAGGAGACUCCCGAGUUAAAUUUGCAGAGAAGCACACUCUCCAGCUAAAGAGGAGACUAGUAGGCGAAGAGGCUUUUGUUCGUAUUGCUCCUGCUGUUGCUGGUAUAGCUGAU
rnacentral:misc_RNA from 1 species